rnacentral:rRNA from 1 species
CCUACGGGGUGCAGCAGUGAGGAAUAUUGGUCAAUGGGCGCGAGCCUGAACCAGCCAAGUAGCGUGAAGGAUGACUGCCCUACGGGUUGUAAACUUCUUUUAUAAAGGAAUAAAGUGAGGCCCGUGUGCCUUUUUGUAUGUACUUUAUGAAUAAGGAUCGGCUAACUCCGUGCCAUCAGCCGCGGUAAUACGGGGGAUCCGAGCGUUAUCCGGAUUUAUUUGGUUUAAAGGGAGCGUAGAUGGGUUGUUAAGUCAGUUGUGAAAGUUUGCGGCUCAACCGUAAAAUUGCAAUUGAUACUGGCAGUCUUGAGUACAGUUGAGGUAGGCAGAAGUCGUGGUGUAGCGGUGAAAUGCUUAGAGAUCACGAAGAACUCCGAUUGCGAAGGCAGCUUACUAAACUGCCACUGACAUUGAUGCUCGAAAGUGUGGGUAUCAAACAGGAUUAGAUACCCCUGUAGUC